rnacentral:rRNA from 1 species
UUGGACCUACGGGGCGCAGCAGUGGGGAAUUUUGCGCAAUGGGCGAAAGCCUGACGCAGCAACGCCACGUGCGGGAUGACGGCCUUCGGGUUGUAAACCGCUUUCAGUGGGAAAGAUUAUGACGGUACCCACACAAGAAGCUCCGGCUAAAUACGUGCCAGCAGCCGCGGUAAUACGUAUGGAGCAAGCGUUAUCCGAAUUUAUUGGGCGUAAAGCGCGCGUAGGCGGCUUGUU